rnacentral:rRNA from 1 species
UGCAGUCGAGCGCGAAUAGGGGCAACCCUUAGUAGAGCGGCGCACGGGUGCGUAACACGUGGAUAAUCUGCCUGGAUGCCUGGGAUAACCAGUCGAAAGAUUGGCUAAUACCGGAUAAGCCCACGGUCUCUUCGGAGACUGAGGGAAAAGGUGGCCUCUGUAUACAAGCUAUCACAACCAGAUGAGUCCGCGGCCCAUCAGCUAGUUGGCGGGGUAAUGGCCCACCAAGGCAACGACGGGUAGCUGGUCUGAGAGGACGAUCAGCCACACUGGAACUGAGACACGGUCCAGACUCCUACGGGAGGCAGCAGUGGGGAAUUUUGCGCAAUGGGCGAAAGCCUGACGCAGCAACGCCGCGUGUGUGAUGAAGGUCUUUGGAUUGUAAAGCACUUUCGACCGGGACGAAACCGUAAAGCCUAAUACGCUUUGCCUUGACGGUACCGGGAGAAGAAGCACCGGCUAACUCUGUGCCAGCAGCCGCGGUAAUACAGAGGGUGCAAGCGUUGUUCGGAAUUAUUGGGCGUAAAGCGCGUGUAGGCGGCUUUGCAAGUCGGGUGUGAAAGCCCUCAGCUCAACUGAGGAAGUGCGCCCGAAACUGCAGAGCUUGAGUGCCGGAGAGGGUGGCGGAAUUCCCCAAGUAGAGGUGAAAUUCGUAGAUAUGGGGAGGAACACCGGUGGCGAAGGCGGCCACCUGGACGGUAACUGACGCUGAGACGCGAAAGCGUGGGUAGCAAACAGGAUUAGAUACCCUGGUAGUCCACGCCGUAAACGAUGAGAACUAGGUGUCGUGGGAGUUGACC